GUGGACCUGAUAUCAGGCAAGAUUACCCGCUGAACUUAA
rnacentral:rRNA from 1 species